UACGUAGGGGGCGAGCGUUGUCCGGAAUCAUUGGGCGUAAAGCGCGUGUAGGCGGCCCGGUAAGUCCGCUGUGAAAGUCCAGGGCUCAACCCUGGGAUGCCGGUGGAUACUGUCGGGCUCGAGUCCGGAAGAGGCGAGUGGAAUUCCUGGUGGAGCGGUGAAAUGCGCAGAUAUCAGGAGGAACACCAAUGGCGAAGGCAGCUCGCUGGGACGUGACUGACGCUGAGACGCGAAAGCGUGGGGAGCAAACAGG
rnacentral:rRNA from 1 species